AUUGAACGCUGGCGGCAUGCCUUACACAUGCAAGUCGAACGGCAGCGGACCUUCGGGUGCCGGCGAGUGGCGAACGAGUGAGUAAUAUAUCGGAACGUACCUUUCAGUGGGGGAUAACGUAGCGAAAGUUACGCUAAUACCGCAUAUUCUGUGAGCAGGAAAGCAGGGGAUCGCAAGACCUUGCGCUGAUUGAGCGGCCGAUAUCAGAUUAGCUAGUUGGUGAGGUAAAGGCUCACCAAGGCGACGAUCUGUAGCGGGUCUGAGAGGAUGAUCCGCCACACUGGAACUGAGACACGGUCCAGACUCCUACGGGAGGCAGCAGUGGGGAAUUUUGGACAAUGGGCGCAAGCCUGAUCCAGCCAUGCCGCGUGAGUGAAGAAGGCCUCGGUUGG
rnacentral:rRNA from 1 species